rfam:Gossypium raimondii chromosome 4, whole genome shotgun sequence.
AUCCCAUGGUGAGGGCAUCUACGAAGUAACUCCUUGAAUCUUUCCCUUGCCUCGUAAGGAGACUCAUCAUCCAUUUGCCAAAAAGUGGCGAUCUCAUUCCGUAACUUU